rnacentral:rRNA from 1 species
CAGUCCCGCGGUAAUACGGAGGGUGCAAGCGUUAUCCGGAUUUAUUGGGUUUAAAGGGUCCGUAGGCGGAUCUGUAAGUCAGUGGUGAAAUCUCACAGCUUAACUGUGAAACUGCCAUUGAUACUGCAGGUCUUGAGUAAAUUUGAAGUGGCUGGAAUAAGUAGUGUAGCGGUGAAAUGCAUAGAUAUUACUUAGAACACCAAUUGCGAAGGCAGGUCACUAAGAUUUAACUGACGCUGAUGGACGAAAGCGUGGGGAGCGAACAGGAUUAGAUACCCGCGUAGUCCCUGUCUCUUAUACA